UACGUAGGGUGCGAGCGUUGUCCGGAAUUAUUGGGCGUAAAGGGCUCGUAGGCGGUUUGUCGCGUCGGGAGUGAAAUCCACUGGCUUAACUGGUGGCUUGCUUUCGAUACGGGCAGACUGGAGGUAUGCAGGGGAGAAUGGAAUUCCUGGUGUAGCGGUGAAAUGCGCAGAUAUCAGGAGGAACACCGGUGGCGAAGGCGGUUCUCUGGGCAUUACCUGACGCUGAGGAGCGAAAGUGUGGGGAGCGAACAGG
rnacentral:rRNA from 1 species